AUUGAACGCUGGCGGCAUGCCUUACACAUGCAAGUCGAACGGUAACGGGCCUUCGGGUGCCGACGAGUGGCGAACGGGUGAGUAAUGCAUCGGAACGUACCUUUCAGUGGGGGAUAACGUAGCGAAAGUUACGCUAAUACCGCAUAUUCUGUGAGCAGGAAAGCAGGGGAUCGCAAGACCUUGCGCUGAUUGAGCGGCCGAUGUCAGAUUAGCUAGUUGGUGAGGUAAAGGCUCACCAAGGCGACGAUCUGUAGCGGGUCUGAGAGGAUGAUCCGCCACACUGGAACUGAGACACGGUCCAGACUCCUACGGGAGGCAGCAGUGGGGAAUUUUGGACAAUGGGGGCAACCCUGAUCCAGCCAUGCCGCGUGAGUGAUGAAGGCCUUAGGGUUGUAAAGCUCUUUUGGCGGGGACGAUAAUGACGGUACCCGCAGAAUAAGUCCCGGCUAACUUCGUG
rnacentral:rRNA from 1 species